rnacentral:lncRNA from 1 species
CCCUAGGCCUGGAAAUAGCUGCCAGACCAGUUCUGGAAGCCAGGUAGGUUCCUUCCUGAGGGAGGCUGAGGAGGAGGAGGCCCUGGAGAGAGGAGAGGGCCAGCCUGGGGGAGCCAUGACCACCGCCCAGACCCCUGCUGUGCUGCCCAGGGAGGAGGUGGCAAGAGUGGCUCAGGCCUCCCAGUCCUGCCCAUUGCAAAACAAGGACAGAGCAGCUCCUCUGUCAGGAGCCAGUCCAGCCUUGAAUCCAGCAGGUCUGGUGAUGUGGCUUUGCAAGGCCACUAGAGGUGGCAUCUGUGACCUCCAUCUAGCCCCAUCCCAGCUGCCAGUGAGCACCACACCCAGAACUGAAGAGGCCCCGACAGCUCCUCCUUGUCCCCUAGAAGACUGUGAGCUGGGCUCCUGACACUUGUAACCUCCCGUCACAGCCCCUACCCAGGCCCAGAGGCCAGACCCAGGUCAGCCUUGACCGAGCGAAGCUUGUCCUCCUGCAGGCUGCAGUCCCAAGGCUUCCAGUCUUGGCGUCAGGUCCUCUCCAUGUCCUGGCCCUGAGCCACGCGUCCACUGUCACCCCGUAUCAGUACACGUGUUCACACGCCUGCCAGCCCCUGCCCGCACUGUGAACCAGGUAGUCAGAGAUCCCUGUGCAGGGGAGACGGACACUGUAGAGCGACAUCAUAAACAAGAGAAUGCUGUCCUGUGUGGGAAGGCGGACAGGUCUCCGCCUUCCCCGCAGCGAGAAGCCUGGCUCCCAACAGCACAGAAUGCUCUCCUCACUCCCCCGAGGAGGCUCAGACACCCUGAGGUGACGCAGGACUGCUGCCACUCAUGGGUGGCACGAGUCAAGUUCAAGACUGAUUUGGGUUUUUCUCCUCUGGGUUAAGGGCCUGGCUAGCGGUUCUGAGUUCAAAGCAUUGGGUUUGUCUGUUGUGGUGGGGUUGGUUUGUGGGUUUGGUAUUUUGUUUCGGUGUGAUGGUGUUGUUGUUCAAAGCACAGUUAGUCUGUGUCUCAAGAAGCUGUGACAGACACUGGUAACAGGUGGGUCUUUGUGGAGCAGCUGGUCUGUGUCCCCACCGUGCCGGAAGCACCCUGGAGGCAUCGUCACCCACUUGUUGUCACCUCGCUCCCAUCUCAACUCCCGUGGCCAGUACUUAGUCAAGGCUUGUCGAACUCAACGGUUGAACCUAAAGCUGUUUGGGAAAUGUUGUUUUGUAGAAUCCAUCAAAAACAGCAGAAUAAACCCGCGAGGUCACAGACCAGCACCAUCCCCACCACAGCAGAACUAAAAACAGACCUCGAAUGGCGUCAUCCAGAACACGCACUGUCCCUGGGGCCGUGCUGCUCUUCCCCAGCGCCGCCCGCCCGCACCUUGCCCCUGGAGUUCACUGCACCCUCCACCUCAGCUCCCAGGAGCCAGUGCUGGACCCUGGGGACACGGGAGUCCUGGGAGUUCAGGAAGGAGCUCAGCUCUGGAAGGCCCUCCCUGCAAGGGCUCUGGACAGAGUUGUGAGCUUCACAGCUCCGUUGUGGACUGACCAGAGCCGCCCAGGGCACCAUCAGAACAGGGAACACUGGGCAGGGCCUGCUCUUGAGGCAGGUGGCCAGGCUGAGCAAGGGCCUUUGGGGACAGGGCAGUGUAGUGCAGACCACAGGCCAAGCUUACACCUGGCCCUGCAGGGGUGAGUCUCAAGUCAGGUUGUAAAGAAGACGGAUUGGCUACCAGAAUGUUCCCCAAUGAGAAGGGAUGGCAAAAACGUAAACUUGUCAAUCAAAAGAUUUUUUGUUUGUUUUCAAGAAAUGACACUGGAACGGGAGGGGACAGAAAGAGACCCAGAGGGGUGAUAGAGACAGGGACAGAGAGCAGGGAGGGAGGCCAGGGAAGAGAGAGGAGAAAGGAGAGAUUCGUCGCUUUGCUGGCCAGGUGCCUAGGGAAGCGGCUUGUCAGCUUUGGCAGGGCCUUCCUGCUCCCUGUGUGGAGACGGUUGCCCAGCUCCCGCGGUUAAGGUUGGUUUAUUUAAUUAGAUGAUUUCAGGUUGCCGCCAGGAGUCUGUUAGAGCCCCGUCCUUGCUGCCCUCCAACACCCGCAUCAAGGGGUCUGCUCACCUGGCCCUGGGGGCUGUUUUUAACCUCUCGAUCUUGGUGUGAUUAGUGAAAGCAAUUAAGCAGCAGGAUCAAAGCUCAGGGCCUCACCGCCUUCUCCAUGUUCCUUAACGACCCUGAAAGGGUUUGCAGAAAUGAGCCUGGAAGGAAUGAAGCGUGGCCAUGAAUAAACAUCACCCAGAAGACGCUGGAGGAGACCCUGCGCCAGCUCUGGACGGCGGCUCUUGGUGGGGGGGUGCAGAGCGCAAGUGGAGGGGACGGGGGGGGGGCACCCUGGGUCUGUUCUACAGGGUCCCUUCCCAUUCGGUGUCAUUGUGCUCUGACAAUCUAUUUAUCAAGAAGGUUCUGCGAUGUCUCAUUAGUCUCCUCCCUCUUCUGCCUGGAUUCAGAAAGAUAAAGCCCUUCUGCUUGGGAGCAGCAAACAAGGUGCCAGCAGGCCCUGUGGCCCACCUGGAUUUGGUUAUACACUUUUUAAAAGGAAUAGUAUUAUCCAAGUGCUGUAAUCCCAGUGGAUCCGGAGGCUGAGGCAGGAGGAUCGUGAGUUCAAAGCCAGCCUCAGCAACAGCGAGGCGCUAAGCAACUCAGUGAGACCCUGUCUCUACAUAAAAUACAACAGGGCUGGGGAUGUGGCUCGGUGGUACAUCAGUGACCCAUCCCCAGCCCUGGAAAAAAUAAUAGUUAAGUGUUAAGUAUUCUCCCUUCCUUCCUUCCUUCCUUUCUUCCUUUUCUUUCUUUCAAAUUUCUGAAACCCAAGGACCAGCCAAUAUUUAUAGGUUCAAAACCAAUCUUGACCUGGCUCAGGGGAGGAGCAACAGGCUACAGGGCUUAGCAGCAGGAGGCAAAAAAGGGCAGUGUCCCAGGGCCCCGGGCCACAGCGCACCUGGGGAUGAGACCCGGCUCUGCUGGGCAGCUGGCCACCACCUGGCUAGGCAGGGGCAGCCCAGGAUGGAGACCGGCCUGUAGCUGAGGCCUGGGGAGAAGCAGAGGGAGGAGUGGGUCUUGGAGUGAAGCUUCCUCUCAACCCCGCUUAAGUGCCUGGAGUUACCCUGGGAGAUUGCCUUCCCGGACAUUGGGGUCCUUCUCUCUAAGCGCUGAGAAGGAGUCGAUUAUUAGCAGCAUGGAGUGCUCGCUCUCUCUGUGGUGCAGUGUUCUCCCUGGCUUGUUCUCUCUCUCUCUCUCUCUCUCUCUCUCUCUCUCUCUCUCACACACACACACACACACACCUCCACCAGAAGCCACUUCACUGAAGAUCCCACCCAACAGCCCGUGGAUGCACUCAUCCACUCAGUGGCCGUGGGGGAUCCCGAGGUCUCCCCACCAUGCACCAGCACAGCAGGAGGUCAGGCAACAGGGCAGGAGGAAGGGGCUGGAUUUCAGGAGCAGGGCUGCUCCCACAGAGGGCAUCCUGGGGAGGGGCUCUGCAGUCCUUGAGGCUAGGGGCCAUGACAGCCACUGGCCCAGAGGCUGCUGGGAUCCAGGCUCAGCAGAGCCGCUGUCUGAUCCAGGGGACACGUGGGCAGGCCUGGAAGCACCUGGACAUCACUGAAGGCAGGGUGGCUUCAGGUUGUCAGAGACACAGAGAUCAAAAGAGAAGUGGAGAGAGACACAUGGGGCCAGGCCAGGGGUCUGCUCAGACUCUAAGGGCCCCUCAGGCCUCCUGCUGCCCAACACCAGCAGGCUGUGCCUCUGCCCUGGGGCCCAGAGGGCACUUCUCCAUGCAGGUCUGUCCUCCGGGGCUGUGGGAGUGGCGGAAUCAGCUCCUCUUAGGCAAAGGUGAGCCCCAGGGAGAAGGAGCAGCCAGAGCGUCCCAGCAUGGGCAGCAGGAAGUCUUAGCGUGAGGCGUGCCAGGACUGUGUGGAGACAGGGCCAGGGCCAGCCCUGCUGUGGAUGGCACCAGGGGGAGAAAUCUGGGUUUCAUUCAAAGCCUGACUCACAAAACUGAGCCUCACCACCUCCAGCUGCAGAAGCCUGACCUGUGGGCCACUGUGUUUUGGAGUCACCUCUUUGUCCCAACAGGCCUGGUUCCCCAGGGUCUGCCCCAGCCAGCCUCUGGGGGGACAGCAAGGCAGGCCCAGUUCUGGAGGUGAGGGAAGACCCUCACCCCCAGCAGCCGGGGAUGGAACGGCACCUACUAUAGCAAUUAAAGAGCCCUCCUGCAGCGACUGGGUCAGUUCUUGUGGUGAGGAUCGUGACCAGUGUCGUAAUCAGAGCUUAACAGCUACCACAGGUCCGGAAGGCCCAACCAGGUCUGACCCAGCUCCUGCACCUCCCUGCCACAGCCCCCCCGCCCCCUUCACGCUCCCCGGCCUUCUCCAGCUCUGGCCUCCUGUCCACAGGCGUUCUGGGGUAAGUUCCGUCAUCUUUCACCCUGUCUUGAUGUCUGCUUUCAGUAGAUGCAGACUGUCUCAUGGGACAUGCAUGGCCAUUGUUGGCAAGAUGACUGACAGAAGCCUCACCAGGGCCUGACAAAGGAGAGGAGGGCAUUGCAGAGGGGGAGACUGAGGCUUGCAGGGAGCGGGCAGGUUUGGCAGCAGAGAUCCCACCUCUGCCCACGGGGUGCCAUCCCCAUCUGCUGAUGGGCUGGACUCUGACCUGCAGGUCAUUAUCAAGACUUUAAUUGGCAGGCUUCAAAGCCUGAGACACUCCUAACCAGAGCUGGUAGUUUAGUUAUUACAGAUCACGUGCUGGAACUUCGUCAUUCAUUAAAAGGAACCAAUGCAUACUAUGGUAAGAGGUCACUGAAAUAGCUGCAGAGUGCAGAAAGGGAGCACCCCCCAGGGCACAGUCAUGGCUGCCACCCCCUUGGAACCAGGGAUGCUGCCUGCACGCUGUGCUCCUGGAGAGGGUGCUGCACAGCAAGCCUGGAGCAGCCAGGGGAUGAUUUCAACCUACUAGGGCAGCUUGCCAUUUAGCAGCCCCCGUGGGCUCGGGAGCAUGGGUGAGCCUGGGGGUUCCAGAGAGGUCUCGGGGUGGGGGAGGAUGUGUGCAGGGGACUUGGGCCUGAGUAAGGGACAGACAGCAGCACUAGCGGAGGAAGGCUCAGUCAGAAUAGCCAUGGGAGCCUUGUCUCAGGAAAAGAGGAGAGAAGAGACCACCUGUUACAAAAAAAGGAUCAUUCAUAGUGCUCACUAAAACACAGUGCGGAAGGCUCCAUUCAGGAGCAAAGACAGGACAGGACCACUGCAGCGGGGCCUUGUAGUGGGAAAGGACGGUCCCAAGUCCCAGCACAGCAUGGGCAAAUGGGGGCUUACCGCCGAGGAACAGGGUGGGGUCGGCCCGUGGGAACCCACCAAGAGGGGCCUCAGGGUUCUGGUUGAACUACCCGAGGACCCAGGCGGCACAGGGCUUCCUACGCACACGCCCACCCCGGGCCCAGAAGCAGGGUUGGGGAGGCUUGCAGGUAGGGCUGGCGCAUGACAGGGACCACAGAGGGAGGGCUGAGUCUGGGCUGGCCACACAGCCGAGCCAUGGCCUCUGCCAGGCUGGUACUGGGGCCUCCCACACGGGAGGAGCCCGUGGGUGUGUCCAGGGCCAGGCGGCUGCCUGGGUUGGCGCCACGAGAAGCUCCCUGUGUGGGGCCACUUGUCCUUUUCUAGGGAAACCCAGCACUGACACUUCCCUGUUUAGAUGAGGAAUUUGGCCAAGGUCCACCCAAGUCCUGGUUGAAAGCCCACUCUCCCCACUUAGCACCCCAUCCCAGGGGCUGUCCCCACGGUGUCAGACGGUGUCAGCGCUGUGCCUGAGGUCCUGGAGGGUGUGUGGAUCAGCACAAGGCAGAACCCCACUCGGUGGCCCUCUCCCUGUCUCAGGUUUUGGCUUCCUAACGGGGAAAGUAGACAUAAUCAUGGAGUCUGCUUACUUACACACAGAGGUUGGGAGAAGCUCUGAGGGUCGCCCAAGGUCACACCACGCAGUCAUUACAAAUCAUGCCACAGGGGGACUUUCCUGACGUGGAAGUGUGCCUGAAUCUUCCGUGAAAACACAAGAAUACCCUCUACGAGCAGAAGGGAGGCAGUGAGGACUCGGGCAGAGUCAGGGAUGGACCUGUGAGAGAGGUGGGGUUCAGCUGCGAUGGGCUGACCACAAGACAGGAGACCAUCCCUGGGGAUCCAGGGGGGCCAGAUAAAGCCAGAAGUGGAGUUGCCUUGAAGCUGGAAAAGUAGAGAAAACUGUGGGCCCCCAGAGGGACUAGCUCCACGGACACUUGGCCCAUACUGGGCUUGGGAAGUGCAGAGCUGUAACUGAGGAUGCUGUUGGAGACCUUGAAAUCAGGGUGGUUUGUUACCACCGCAAAAGAAGCUCAGGCAGCCGGCGCUCCCCGCGGGCCACCGCAGAGCGCAGGGAGGGGAAGGUGGUGGGCUGGCUCCAGGUUUGCUCUGUGCCAGUGCCUGCCCACUGUCCGCGUCCCUGGUCGACUCAGUGACCCCGGGCAACACAUCAUCCAAGUGCUUCUUGCUGAAGGCCUGUUUGCUUCUCUCCAGUUUUAAUUUGUGUCACAAGUGCAGAGAUGAGCGGCAGCCUGCCAGGUCUGCACCAAGAACCCUGGAGGAGGGUCUCCCCAGAGAACCCACACAGAGCCCUUUUAUGAGGUUCAGGCCUCAACACCUGAUUGGAAGCAACUGCUCCUCCCACCCGACAGGUGAGUAAGCUGCUUGGGGCUCGGGGAUGGCCCAGCUCAGACUCAGGCCCUGCCCACGGGUCUCACGUCUUGCCACACGGUAUCCAACACCUGUAUCAGUUAAAACAUCUCACUUUCAAUCAAUAGAAAUGUUCUUCUUAAAUGUAUUUAUGGAUUUAUUUAUUGCAGUACUGGGAAUUAAACAGAAUGGGCCUUAGAGGAAUUGAAACACAUCAGUUGAGAUGAUUGGCUUAUUUCCUUGAUAGAUCUCACAUCAGACAACUGGGCCUGAAUUGCCGCAGGUUCUGAAAUGGGUCCAGUCCGGUGCAAAGAGAUCAGCCUCACACAAAUAACCCAGUGUGAGACCCAGAGUGCUGUCUGGGACGUUGCCAGCAGGACCUUGCUGGGCUCUAACAGGUAUUUCCUCCUAGAACCUUUUCGCCAGCCAACCCCAUGUGUCCCUGGCUCCUCACCAAAGGAAAAGGAGAAAUGCUUCCUUCCUUCUUCCUCCUGGGGCUUCUUCCCUCUGCCUGGGGCAGACCCACUGCCACUGCACCGGGGCAGAAGCUCCCGCAAGGAUGUCACUGUGCCUGGGAUCUGAGUCGCCAGCCAAUUACAAGGAUGUACUUGCUAUGACUGAGAACCGGCAGGUUGGCAGGAGGGCAGCUCGGCAGGCUGGCAGAGCAGGUUUCUGGCCGGGGACCCAGCCCCAAACCAAGUUUACAAAACAGCUGCUCCGCUGGGGCCCUGUGAUGAGCAAGCCCGUCAGGGUGGACUCCAGGUGGUGCUGAGCUGCGGUCAUCAGAAGGAAUGCCCCAAACAUUAACAAGGCCAGGAAGGCCAGAGAUCUGGUGAGCCUUGGUGACCUCGCAGCCUGUCAUCAGCCCGGCCCAGAAAUGGGCCCCUGUCUUCACUGGCUGCUCAGCCUCGUACCCAUGGGAGAAGAGCCGGCAGCACAACCACACAGCCCUGCUGCACGCCUGGGCAGCCUGCUUGGUCCUGGGAGUAAACCACCAGAUCCCAGAGAAAACCUAAGUUGACAAAGCACAGCUCCAGUCAGAGGCACCCAAAUGACAGUCACAGAAAACGCCCUCUCGCCCGAACUGCCUUUUUACUAACAUGUUGAUUGACACACACUCUUGUCCACCUUUGGAAAGUGGGUGAUGCUUUGAUCUCGUGCACAUGGAGCCACAGUAAGGCAGGGUGAUGGGCGUGCUGUCGCCUCGUGCUGAUGCUCUACGGCAGGACAACGUAGGAAUGUCGUGCUGUUGCUCUAUCUCAUGCCAACGCAGGAACGGCCUCGCCACGUCAGAGCGCUUUCACAGCCGUCACCCAUUCACUUCUCACGGCAUGCCUGAUGGGGGCUGCAUGGCCAGCGCACCCUCAUGGGAGGACACUGAGUCUGGCAGCGAGGCCCCUAUGUGGGGAUCGGCCUGCCAGCCCUGCUCUGCCAGGCUCCCCUUUGUCACCUGCCCCUCCCAGGCAGCCUUCAGGCCCGGCCAGAGGCGUUGAUUGCUACUGCUAGAAGAGGACAUGGCGAUCUACACUUUCAGCAGGCUUCGAGGCACUUGUUACAAUGGACUCGCUGAAGAGCAGAAGCGCUGUGACUAAGGAUUCAGCUGGGACAGCAGCAUGCUGGGGCUGAUGUCCACAGGUGGAGCUGGAAGGUCACCCUGCUGCAGAACACACUUGCAGGAGACCUUCUUCUGGAGGGAUGGCACUGGCCAGUGGGUGAGAACUCGACUCCUGCCUGCACAUCACCGGGGGCUCACAGUCGCCUGCAGAGAGACUCCAAGACUGGAGCCAGGACCAUCCCCCACUCCCUGCCUGGGAUUACUUCCUGGUGCGUGAGUUGCCAGUGACCUGCUAGUUCUUAAGGGUCAAAGUUCACGGCUCUCCUUGUUAUUGCUACCCUAUUUACAAAGAGAAUUUGAAGCAACAGCUUCUUGAGUCAUUUUUACCAUUUUUAGAUGCAAUUCCUCCUGUCUCUCUGAGCGACUGGUCUCUAAUGUCCCUUCUUCCUGUCCCCCUCAGUAGGAAAGACAGGAGUUUUAGCAUUCCACAGGGCACCAAGUUCAUUUCUCAUGCAGCCCAUUGUGGCCACGUCCAAGUUCAGGACAGGAUGAAAGCAGAGUUGGCCUUCGCACUUUCCAGGAGUUCCUAAAGGGAAGAAGCGCUAAUUUUCUUGUUCUUCCUUCCUCUUUACUGGCUAGGACAGGAACCGAAUGACUGGUGCUCUGCAGCUCUUUUGGAACAUGAAGUAGCCUUGGCAACGGAAGUCAAGCAUGGCAAAACACGGCUGAAAAGGAGCCUAGUCCCUGAUGCAGGGGUGUGUCACCGUGGAUGGGGUGCUUCCGGGCUUCCUGACUGUGAGAGGCCAUCUUCUGAUCUUUUUAUGCUGCGUUCAGUUGUAGUCACAGGUGAUUCUAAUAAACACAUCUCGCCUUUUUCCUCCUCUCAGCCGAUACUGAGGAGAAGGAUAGAUCAGGUGGGAGGGGGGUACAGGAAGUACCAGGGCAGUCGGGACAAGAUCCAUCAGCAGCUGUUGCUCAGAAUUUCCUUCCAUCGGCCGCCAUUCAGCUCCUCAGUCUUUCCUGGCGUCUCUCUAUGAAAACUUGAAAUGAAAGCACCUAAGAUCCGAGUGCCCAUUCUCUCACCAGCUCGGAGUCGGGCAGGGCGGUCACUGUCAGCCCCUCAGUGGGUGAGGGAGUGGCCAUUCAGCACGACACAGCUGGUGUGUGAGAAUACCAGACUCCCACUGGGACUCGCUGAAGGGGACGAGACCCCCCAGAGUCCCUGGUGUCACUUCUGUCCUCCAGCGACGGCAGCACCAUGGCUGUGCGUCAACACAGGCGUCCCCUCAGUGGAGAGGCUCAGCGGCACCUCAUUUCUGUGGCGCGGAAGCCACCAGUUCUAAAUUGUGCCCCCCCAGAGCUGCCUCUCUGUGAAGCUGCGGCCCUCCAGCCCUGAGCAAGUGUCCAGAGACAGGUGAGUGGGUAGACAAAAGGCAGUCCACCCGACAACAACCCUAGUGAGGAGGAGAUCCGGACAGACAGGACCACGGAAAUGAGCCCUGAGGACCAGCUCAGUGAUACCAGCCAGCCAGCCACUGAAGGUCACAUCUCGUGUGAUUCCACCUUUAAGGUACCUACUGCAGUCCCCUUAGCUGCAGUUUCACUUCCUACAACCUCAGUUACCUACAGUCAACUACAGGCCACAAAUAUGAAACGAAAAACCCCAGAAAUGCACAAUUCAUGUUUUACAUUGUGCCCACCUCUUCUGCACAGCAUGGCAGGCUGCCCAACUCAAGCCAUCCAGGACGUGAAUCAUCCCUUUCACCCGAGCAUCCAUGGUGCAUACCCUACCCACUUGGUAAACACUUAGCAGCUGUCUCAGUUAUCAGGUUGAGUGGCAGUAUCAUAAUGCUGUGUUCAAGUGACCCUUAUCCUGCUUAGUAAUGACCCCAAAGUGCAGGAGUCCUGAUACAGCAAUUUAGGUAUGCCGCAGAGAAUCAAUAGUACCAGUACCUCCUUUAGGUAAAAAAGAUGAAAGUUUAUCAUAGGUAUGUAUGUAUCCAAAGAAACACAAUAUACGUAAGGUUGGUAGUCGAGGUUGUGGGCAUCCACUGGGUCUUGCAAGACAGCCCUGAGGACAUGAGGUGGUACAUUCAAUUCAAAUUAUAGAGAAUGGUAGUAGCAGGAGUGGGAGGGAGGGGGAGAUGGGGAAUUAGUAUAUUGAGGACAGAGUUCAGUUUGAAAAUGAAGUUCUAGACAUACUUUCAGCACCCUGUGAAUAUACUUAACUACCCACCAAAAGGGGGACAAGAUGGUAAAUUUUACAUGAUGUGUAUUUUGCCGCAGAUUAAAAAAAAAAUAAAAACUGGACUGGUCUCUG